GUGGAAAUAAUGUAAGUCACCAGGGAAUCAGAACGAAUAAGAGAAAGGGAAAAAACCGUGGCAAACUGUUUUCAUAAAUUCAAUUAGCCAUACUUUUGGCACGGAUUUAAUUUGUUCCAACCCCCUCACGCGGAUUACAUGUACCAGGUUGAGUGCGUCGCGGUAGCCUUUUUUUCGCUCUUUCAAAUUUUUUCAUCCACAUAUAGGGGCCUGUAGAAAGAAAAAAACUGUCCAACGUUUUUAUAUACUUUCGGUUUGAAAGUUCGUCCUGUUCGAAUCGCGCGGUGAGCUUUACAUUUUUUUGUUUCUAAUUCUAUUGCUUUCGUGUCCGAAUUGAAGAAGGCAUCGAAUUCAAGAAUUCCCUAUCCACCGUACUGAAAAAAGGAGUAAAAAGGAAAAAGAAAGAUUUUUAUAUCCACGCACACGACGCCGUACGAAAAUUCGCCCGGUUUCGCAUUGUUUGCGAAAACAAUAGGCGAGAAGUGUCGAAUCCUAGAGAACAAUCAUUACAGAGGAAUUACGGGCAAGGGGGUCGGUGCGGGACCGGAUGGUUUCCAUGACAACCGUACGAGAGACACGCGAACCUCUCAUGCGCGUUACGUUAUAAGAGGGAUUCGGCGAGCGUGUUCGCGAUUCGCGAAAAUGGGGGUGGCAGAAGGGGGCGAAUGGUUCGCGGUUUCGGUCGGGGGUGUAUUCGGUGAUGGUGCGAGGCGAAUGGACCACGAGGAGCGGAGCGACCGUAUACAAUUCGACAAAAUUGAAUUCUGUCCACCCCACAAAAUGAAAUAAAUUUAUCAUUUUCAAAA